GGAUGUGAAGGCAGUCUGGCUGCAAAGUGUGCCCUCUAUUUAGGGCUGGUUCUGCUAAUCUGGCUGGCUCCGUGAGGGUCUCCUUCCUCCCUCACUGCUCCAUGCGCAUCCCUCUGAGGCUGUGGUUACAGAGGAUGACCUUCGCCUAUAGAAGGGGACCAUUUCCUCAGUCAAGGGAAUAUGAAUAGCAGCAUCCCCUGCUAGAACCUCCAAAUAUGCUACCAGGAACAGCUUGGGCCAUAAGGGGACGUCUUGUCUCAAAAAAAAAAGUCAUUUUUUUAAAUCUAUAG
ensembl:misc_RNA 7SK 7SK RNA